GGGAGCAGGAGGAGGAGGCAGUUCUAAGCGGACGGGAUCCUUCUAAGAACCUUCGGUUCUGCGACUUGGGAGCUAGUAUGCGAAGUCUGCCCAAUGCGAUUGCACGUCGCCUUAGAAUCUGCCUCCUCAGGGAUGAGAAUUGAGUGAGACGCUGCUACCAGGAAAGGCCCUGGCUGCUGAUGGGCAAUGCUGGACAUGGAGGCUCCAGGCCAAGCCCCAGGGCAGCACCCUGAGCCUGAGCUUUAGAGGACCAGAAUGAGGAAUCUGCAAGACCAAGGAGAGGGAGAAGGGAAGGAGAAAGCGAAGGAGAGAAACAUCAAUGUG